UAACUUGCUUAUUAAAACAAAAUAUUACACUAAAAUAAAAAUGCUAUAGUACUGUAUAUCGUAGUGACAUUAAACUAAUUGUCCGCUAACUUAUUCAUAAUGCUGAUUUAUACCGUUCGCAAUGACGUUUGACUGUAAGCAGGCUAUCGUGAAUUAUCACAAAUAAAAACAUAUAACUGUUAGCUGAUGGUUAUAUGUACGGUAACGACAAAUACAACUAGGGGAUGUCGAUGAUAACUGUACAGAUAUCUGAAGCCGAUAUCCACACCCCGAGGUCAUGGCGUCGCCCGGUGUCCGCUGUGCCCCGGCGGAAAGCUCCGCUGCUCGGCAACCCCAAAGCAAGAUCAGCGACCGGCUGACCCCGAGCACAGCAGACCCCUUCAGCAGCCCACGAAAGGCGCAGUCGCCGUUUGCCGCUGUCUACGCCAAAGGAGGUAUACCCUGCAGAUUGGUCCAUGGAUCUGUUAAACACAAGUUACACUGGGAAACUCCUCCAGAAUCCAUUGCCUUUGACCCACUGCUUGUGAUCCUUGCUGAGGGUUUGAGAGAAACCAAAUACCCUUACACAUUUGUGUCCAGAGAGGGUUUCAGGGAGUUACUCCUGGUAGAGGGCGCCAGUGAGAAAAUCAGGCCACUCCUUCCGAAGGUGGUUCCUGCACUUAGAGCGGCUCUGGCCCAUGAAGACACUGAGGUCUUUGAGAGAGGGCUAGACGGUCUCCUACAGCUCAGUGGCAUGGCACGAUGUGACCUCAAUGGCCACCUGAAGCAUGUGCUUGCCUGUAUCUCAAAGAAAUUCAUGCAGAAGAAACACAGGGAGAAGGUGACCUUGGCCCUACAGACACUGGAGAGGAAUGGAGGCAAGGAGAGCCUACCAAUUAUAAAGUCCAAGGUGCCAACAUACAGCUCAGUUUAUUUCUGAAGAUACCAGAACACCUGAGCACCUUUGAUACAGCUCAUGGCCAAACAAACUUCUCCUCUCCCGAGGGAGUUACUCUUCUUGAGGUAUCUGUCCUUGCUUUAGUCGUGGCCAAUGCUACACUAUGCAUUGCAACUAUAAUAGGAAUUUGCAUACUGUUCAACAAAGUUAGUCAGAUCAGGAUGAAGAUUGCAGAGAAUGAAACUGUCACUGACCGUCGCAUCACACAAAAUGGGUCUAAGCCUUUUCAGGAGAACAAUGAGAUGCACAAUGAGAGCCCAGAUCCUACCAAUCAGGCACCAACACGGCCUUCGUCCUUCAAACUCCCAAACACAGAGAAGCGGGAAUCGAGCCAGCUGUCAGAGCACUCUUCCAGCAUGCAGGGCUCAGAUCCUACCCUGUUUCGACAACUCUCCCCUCCUGACUAUGAAUACACCAUGUCCAGAAGGUUCAGACAAGGCAAUGUGUCCCAGCAUCUGCCCGAGGAGGACAUGUCCACCAUCGACUUGACCCUAGAUGAUGACCCAAACUCCCCGUACAUGCAUAUGAGGUCUUGUGGGAUCGACAGUCUUAUCCCAGGCAUGGCUGAUGAGGACAUCUACGAUAUUCCCCGAUACUCCUCUGCUAGCUGCAUCUGCUUUACCCGAGUAGACCAAGCAUCUCUGAAAAGAGCCAAGCAGUCUAGGUACCGUUCUGACCCCAACAGUUACCCUUUGUCUUCUGUUCUCAGCAGCCUGCAAAUGAGUAAUGGUGAAUCGCUUGGUGCUUGCUCUCCAGACAGCUCCAGGGACUCUGGGCAGGGGACUAUCAGUAGCUCGCAGAGUCUCAGGUUUGAGAUGAGUGACCCAGGGUCAACGGGUAGAACAGAGAAGCUCUCCAACUCUAUGUUUACGAAGGCAGCAUGUCCUCAGAAGCGAAAUGCAAACUCAUCUACUCGGAAUCAGAAACAGCCACCAAUUGCAAUCUAGUUUGAAAACCAAAACAAAAUCCUAUUAACAGAUUAACCAUACAAUUAUCCUUUAUAGAGAGUACAAUUUUGCCUGCUAUUCGCAACAUCUGAUAUCUGAUAAUCUGAUAUUGGUUAGCACUGCUGCCUUCCAUCUUUGGGGUUAAGGUUCAAGUCUCUACCAGGGUUCCAUAUACUGUACUCUGUACUCCCAAUGAACAGGACAAGCAGUUACAGAAAAUAGAUGGGUUACCCACAGGAUAUUGUUUAUAGUUUUAUUUCAGACAAAAGGUUUUAAAAUAGUUUGGGUUAUUUUUACACCAAUCAUGUAAAAUUUGUAAAUGUAGAGGUUUUAAGUGAGAACAGAAACCACCAGGAAUGCAUGAUUAGUAAUGAUGACUAUUCAUGAAACUGUUAUUUAUCUUCCCUGCAUGGACUAAUUCUAUUUGUUAGUUUGUUUGGGUCUCCAGGCCCAGGUAUAGACCAUCUCCAUUUGCCCUGCUACAUUUAUUGAAGUGUUACAAAAGAAGUUUGUUCAAUAAGUAUGAUCCCUGACAGGACACACUCCCACACCUUUCACACCUACAGGCAGGUUUGGUACCUCCCAUUCACACCUACAGGCAGUUUGGUACCUCCCAUUCACACCUACAGGCAGUGUGGUACCUCCCAUUCACACCUACAGGCAGUUUGGUACCUCCCAUUCACCUCAGGCUGUUUUGGGACUGUGCAUUACCCAGAGGAAACCCCACAGUGACCGGAGAGCAUGCACACUCCACACACAGAGCCACGGCAGAGACUCAUAACCUGAUCCCACAGGUGUGAGGCAACAGUGCCAACCACUGCACCGAAGCUUUCUUUUGUUUCAUCAAGAUAUAUUUUUAUAUCCUUCUAGUUCAUCAUGAGUAAAAAUCUUUUAUUGUAUGUUAUUAAAUAUUGUCAUUGGCUAAAAAAAAUAUAUUUAUUGGUUGAACCUAAAAUGUGUUAGGGGAAAUGAUCGAAGCAGAAGCUAUUAUAGACCUGCCAUUAAACCAGUCAAAAUAGUGAUAAGAUAGAAGAGUUCAUUAUCAUUGCUUUCCCCUCCAUAGUCACCUCUCUGACAUGUUUUCUGUGCUCAUGUGAUCAAGCUGUAUCUCAGAUUUCUAACACACAUGCACUCUUCCCCAUAUUCCAUUAUGCAAAUGUUGUCAAGUGUCAGAAAUACAUGAUGCCACUCUUUAAUAGCA